rnacentral:rRNA from 1 species
UACGUAGGGGGCUAGCGUUGUCCGGAAUCAUUGGGCGUAAAGAGCGUGUAGGCGGCCAACUAAGUCCUGCGUGAAAUCUCGGGGCUCAACCCCGAGCGGUCGUGGGAAACUGGUUGGCUAGAGUGCGGGAGAGGAGAGUGGAAUUCCUGGUGUAGCGGUGAAAUGCGCAGAUAUCAGGAAGAACACCCGUGGCGAAGGCGGCUCUCUGGAACGCAACUGACGCUGAGACGCGAAAGCGUGGGGAGCAAACAGG